rnacentral:rRNA from 1 species
UACGUAGGGGGCGAGCGUUGUCCGGAUUUAUUGGGCGUAAAGAGCUCGUAGGCGGUUCGAUAAGUCGGACGUGAAAUCUCCACGCUCAACGUGGAGGGGCCGUUCGAUACUGUCGUGACUCGAGUCCGGUAGGGGAGAGUGGAAUUCCCGGUGUAGCGGUGAAAUGCGCAGAGAUCGGGAGGAACACCCGUAGCGAAGGCGGCACUCUGGGCCGGUACUGACGCUGAGGAGCGAAAGCGUGGGGAGCAAACAGG